UACGGAGGGUGCGAGCGUUGUCCGGAAUCACUGGGCGUAAAGGGCGCGUAGGCGGCUCAUUAAGUGGCUGGUGAAAUCCCGGGGCUCAACUCCGGGGCUGCCGGUCAGACUGGUGGGCUCGAGCACGGUAGAGGCGGAUGGAAUUCCCGGUGUAGCGGUGGAAUGCGUAGAGAUCGGGAAGAAUACCGGUGGCGAAGGCGUUCCGCUGGGCCGUUGCUGACGCUGAGGCGCGACAGCGUGGGGAGCAAACAGGAUUAGAAACCCCCGUAGUCC
rnacentral:rRNA from 1 species